rnacentral:rRNA from 1 species
UACGGAGGGGGCUAGCGUUGUUCGGAAUUACUGGGCGUAAAGCGUGCGCAGGCGGCUUCUCAAGUCAGGGGUGAAAGCCCAGAGCUCAACUCUGGAAUUGCCUUUGAGACUGAGUGGCUUGAGUACGAGAGAGGUGAGUGGAACUGCGAGUGUAGAGGUGAAAUUCGUAGAUAUUCGCAAGAACACCAGUAGCGAAGGCGACACUCUGGGCCGGUACUGACGCUGAGGAGCGAAAGCGUGGGGAGCAAACAGG